rnacentral:rRNA from 1 species
AUUGAACGCUGGCGGCAGGCCUAACACAUGCAAGUCGAGCGGAUGAAGGGAGCUUGCUCCUGGAUUCAGCGGCGGACGGGUGAGUAAUGCCUAGGAAUCUGCCUGGUAGUGGGGGAUAACGUCCGGAAACGGGCGCUAAUACCGCAUACGUCCUGAGGGAGAAAGUGGGGGAUCUUCGGACCUCACGCUAUCAGAUGAGUCUAGGUCGGAUUAGCUAGUUGGUGGGGUAAAGGCCUACCAAGCCGACGAUCCGUAACUGGUCUGAGAGGAUGAUCGGUCACACGGGAGCUGGAACACGGUCCAGGCUCCUACGGGAGGCAGCAGUGGGGAAUGUUGGGCAAUGGGCGAAAGCCUGGUCCAGCCAUGCCGCGUGUGUGAAGAAGGUCUUCGGAUUGUAAAGCACUUUAAGUUGGGAGGAAGGGCAGUAAGUUAAUACCUUGCUGUUUUGACGUUACCAACAGAAUAAGCACCGGCUAACUUCGUG